GAGGGACAGAGUGACAUCAGAUGUAUGAUAGUUUUUUAAUUUUCUAUCAUCCAUAUAAUGUUGUAUAGUCAUGGAACUAUGCAUAUUUCCUCAGAAUGACUUGUCUGCUAUGUGUACAUUUUUUUGAAGUGUUUAGAAGCUGCACUUUAAAAAAAUAAAAGACAUUUACUGGUUACUUUUUUACUGUUAUUUCAAAAAAUCACCACGCAAAAUCAUUCAAGCUAUCCAAAAUUCAUUCACACCUGUUCUGUAAGAUAAAUUCUUUAAACAGUGGUAAAAGAGGAUGUGGUGCUGAACCUUCAAGAGUCACUCAAAACGUAUCUGUCCAUAAAGCUUAUAAAGAAUUAUUCUUAAUAUACAGUUCACAAUACUUCAGCUUGUUAUUCUAAUUAAGUGAGGGUCAUUUUAUCAGUAAAAUACAUAAAAUACAUAUUAUUUUUCUUUGAAAGAUUUCUAUAAAUGAUUUAAAUCAUACUUGUUUUACAAUAAUUAUUUAAAAGUAAUCCUAUAGCUCCAUCUGGUGGUCAUUAUUGGAACUAAGAAUUGCAAGCUUGAUUUAUAAGUUAUGAUAGUUUUAAUUUUAUGCUGGCUCUUGAAAAUGAUAAAGCUAUGAAACUUACUGUGCUUCCUUCAAAUGAUGACUUCUACGUAUAUAAAAAAUUAUGAAGAGUUGGAAUGAAAAAUUUUAAAGAUAUAGUAAAAUAACGAUUGUAUUUUUUUAUGUUACUUUAAUAAAUCGCUAUGGCCACACCAUUUAAGCUAUCCUAAACCCAUUCGCAAUUUAACAUCUUCAGUAUAUUAGCUUCAUGUUAAAAAAGUUUGCUGUGAACUUGUGUCUUCUUGGAGGAGUAUGAAUUCAUUUACAGGCUGAUUUUAUCAUAAAUCCACAAUAAAAUUUCUGAGUUCUGUAUCAAUCUGUGUUGUUGUUUGUUUUUUUUGUUUUUUUUUUUAUUUUUCAUAGGAAGAUAACUGACCCUUUACUCUCCUUUUUAAUAAAUGUGCUUAUAACCCAAGAACAAGCUUUUUAUAGCUGUAUUUAUAAACUGCUUACUAUUGACUAUUAAUAUUGGGACAAGGCUUUAUAAAGCAUGAACUGAAUAUUUACUGUUUGAGUUUGAAAUUAUUAUUUGCAGCACAAAUAAGGUUUUUUAGGAUUUUUAAAAAUCCCUAAAACUGUCAGAAAAGGAUAAGGCCUAUAAGAUUUUAUGUGAGUGGCUAAAUUUAUUUGUUUUUAUAACUAUAAUGCAUAAACUAUGAAAUUAUACAAAAUGUAUAAAAAUGUACAACAGUUAUUCUUUUCCAAUGUUUUUUAUUUAUUUAUUUAUUAAAUUUUUUUUAUUUUAUUUACAUUUCAAAACAUUUGCCUACUGCAAUCAUUCUAAACAGCUUGAAUAAAACCUGUUAAUAUUUAUUAUAGACCACUGUAACUGUGUAUAAUCUAACAAACAAGUUUAUUAUGAAAAUAAAAGUGUACACCAGAUAAAUUGGACGAUAAAGAAAUUGCUAACAAUAGUAUAAUAGAGCAUGUUUUAGGUUUUUAGGCGUUUAGAUGCAGAAAUGGACAAAUCAAAUGUAAAAUAAAAUGUAAUUGAUUUAAUUAAAUAUAGAUUAAUUCUUGUUAGAGCAAAAUAAUAAAUAAAUAAAUAAAUAAAUAAAUAAAUAAAUACGUACACACAUUAAAAAAAGCAGCCAAGAUGAAUGAGUUUCAUUUUUUAUAUGGAUCAAAAUUGAAGACAGAAGCAGCUGGUAUAUGCGGUCACUUAAUAUUAAAAUCCAGUAGAUCCAUUUCAGAUUUAUUUCUCAACAGUUUAUGUUCACGUGGCUGUUUUCGUUUAUAGUCGCCAAGCUAUUAUGUAUUUUGAAAUAAUCUUGUCCGUGAUGUGUUCGUUCGUACGACGAAAGGCAGAAUCCUGCAGCUCGAGAGAUGUUAUUCUGCCAGUCGCGCUUUCAAAUAGUCUUGCACACUUAAACGGGUCACAAACACCUGCAUUUAGCUCUUGUUGUGUUACAAUGGGUUUAUUGUGUGCAUUUGUGGUAAUAUUUUAUUUAAAAAAGCUCUUAAACAAGAAUAAAUUCGUUUGUUUUGAGCUGGACACUGUACGCGCUGAUCGGAGGCGGUGAUUUCAGAUAGGCAGCCACAAAUAUUUCAUUUUCACACAAACAGUUCAAAAACAUCUUAAUUUAGCUCUUGGUGUGUUCUAAUUGGUUGAUUGUGUGAUAUCGCUGUAAUAAUUUAUUUUUAAAAGCUUUAAAACAGGAAUAAAUUCGUUUUCUCUGAGCUCUUUACUCCAGACGCUCGUGAUCACAGCGGUGAUUCAUCUCUCCUAUUUCUCACGUAUCUCUGGCCAGAAAUAAUUUAUCCAUGAGCCCUGAACCGGUAAUAAUCAUAUAUGUUGGUUUAGCUUGUCAGUGUGAAUUAAAUCUAAGUAUUUGUUUGUAUUUUUAACCGAUUUAAAAGUGAAAGUAAAAGUCCGGGAAUUGAACCUGUAGGGGCGCUAUUUCUCUCAGACAAUGGAAGUCUGAAGCACAUAUACUCAAACAGAGGGACAGAGUGAGAUGAGAUGUCUGACAGUUUUUUAAUUUUCUGUUAUCCAUACAGUGUUGUAAAGUCGUGAAACUAUGCAU